GGACUUUUUUAUUUCAGAUGUUCUAAUGAUGAAAAAAAAAAAUCUUACUUUGCAUUUAGCACAACACAUCAUUUCAGCUUUUGCAUUGCAUAAUAUGAUUUCAGUUUGACCUUUAGUUCUGGUUGCAUUUGUAUCUUAGGAUUUUCAGUCUAUUGUAUGGGGCUUGUCUUUACUGACAUCUUAGUGGAUCCUUUGAAAGUCUUCUGUGCACCUUUAUGCAUGCUACAUGUCAAACAACCAAACUUCUUCAUAUAUUUGGUGUGUGAAUCAUAAGCAGGUGACCUAAUAAUCAAAGACUCUUGGACAAACUCUCAAUCUCAUGUUAGAACUGAAGAGUAGUUGGAUCUACUUAAACAACUGCAAUUUAUCUUAUUUGAUCCAUUUAUUUAAGACAUGACAAUGAUGUAGAUUUUUUUAAAAUUCAAGCCAGUUAAUGUACUAUCCAGAAUUUUAGGACUCUUGAGGUUCAUCAACAAUUAUACGGGUGUUUGGUAUUUUGGUUGCUUAUAAGCCACUGGUAAGGUACCUGCAGUGGAGUGCCCCAACUGGAGACCUUGCACUGUAGCUUAAGUGGCUUCCAAGGCACCACAAUGCCAAGCUCAACCAUAAUCAUGGUUUGUUGUUGGUUUUAGUCAUGGACGUGCCUGUUUUUUUUUUUGUUAAGAGACAGGACCAAACCUGCCAACAUAUUUACGUUCAAAGUAUAGUUGGUUGUCUUUUUGUGUUGAAAUGCAUGUAAAAAGAACUUGAAAUAAGAGUCAAGAUCUACUAGUUCAUUGGAAUUUGAAUCUGAUCAGUAGAAGCUUGAUUACAAAGCUUAAAGUAUCUCCAAGUAUUUAAAAGCAUUAUGUGCUAUUGUUUGUAUAAUGUAUUUUAUAUAAAAGGUUAGCAGGUUGUUUAUGGUUUGAGCAGUUAGCCUUGCCUGUUAUUAACUUAACUUCUAGCUGUCUCAUUAUGUAUUUAAGCAGAAUUGAUUGCAAAAUAUGCAAAUUAGCCAUAUUCAGUUAAUGGAUUAGAAUGUGAUUAGGUAAAGCUGACGGCUUUUGAUGAAUCCCAUUUUUUCAAUUUUAGGAAAUUUCCUUUUCCAACACAUGGUAAUGAAAAUGGGAGCUCCUCCUUUGUACUUCUCUUCAUUUGUAUAUUCAAUGCCUUAGAAUUUAUAAAAAUGUGCAGCCUGACUAGGUCAUGCAGGGAUUUUUCUUUUCUGAAUUCUAGGAUAAGGUAAAUUUUGACAUGGUCAUCAGGUUUCUGUGUUUGCUUGUUCAAAGGAUUAUUUUUAUUUGUUACCUGCUUAUGCACUAGCACCUUUAGACUGAUACUUAAGUUCUUGGUCUCAUGCACCCGAGCCCAACUAUUACUAACUGUACUGCAUUUUCUCUAUAUUGUAAUGAUAAUGUGUAAAUUGACAGCAUGUGCUGGUCUUUCUCCCAACUCCUGUCUGGUCAUGUUUGAGUGUCUCCCGCCCAGGUUGCAUAAUUGUAAUUAGUGGCACCCAGUCUUCAGGAUGAAUGACUGUCUGAAUUUGUUUUGGUCAAUCUCUUUCUCAAAUGUGAAAAUCAAUCUCCCCUGCAUGUCUUUGUACAUUCUCUCCUCUGCAUGUCUUUGGACAUGCUCUUUCACCCUCUUCCUCUUUUUAAACCAAAAAGGCAGGAGGAAAACACCAACGCUAGGAAUUUGAACCAUAGUGACCUCCUAGAAAAAACUGAAGUGUACUUUGCCCCAUGGCUUGGAGAAACCAGAUAAGACACU